GAUGAUGAAGUCAAUUGUCAUUUGUUUGUCUAAUCUGUGUGUUGAGAUAAGUGUGCAGGAUUAACUACGAUGAAAGUAAGACAUGCAGCAGGAGUUGCGCCGGAGUCAUGACAAUGAUCACAUUGGGAGUUCGAGAGCUCGACGGAAGUUCGGACAGUCGUCGGAGGUUCUGCGGGAACAAAUCCGAGAAGUCCAGAAGCUUGCCAAAG
rnacentral:lncRNA from 1 species